UGGGGAAUAUUGCACAAUGGGCGCAAGCCUGAUGCAGCCAUGCCGCGUGUAUGAAGAAGGCCUUCGGGUUGUAAAGUACUUUCAGCGGGGAGGAAGGCGAUAAGGUUAAUAACCUUGUCGAUUGACGUUACCCGCAGAAGAAGCACCGGCUAACUCCGUGCCAGCAGCCGCGGUAAUACGGAGGGUGCAAGCGUUAAUCGGAAUUACUGGGCGUAAAGCGCACGCAGGCGGUCUGUCAAGUCGGAUGUGAAAUCCCCGGGCUCAACCUGGGAACUGCAUUCGAAACUGGCAGGCUAGAGUCUUGUAGAGGGGGGUAGAAUUCCAGGUGUAGCGGUGAAAUGCGUAGAGAUCUGGAGGAAUAUCGGUGGCGAAGGCGGCCCCCUGGACAAAGACUGACGCUCAGGUGCGAAAGCGUGGGGAGCAAACA
rnacentral:rRNA from 1 species